rnacentral:lncRNA from 1 species
CCGACUCUCCUUCUUCGACUACCUCCAUAUUGACAUAUGCCAUCAUUGGCUCAGUUGUCAAGUAAUCACCCUCCAUAGUAGCGGGCUGAUCAGGUCUGGCACCAAACAUGGCGGAUAAUACAUACGCCAUGUUGAUAUGAAAAUUACUAGGCUCGGGCAUAUCUUCUUUAUUGCCCCAAAUCUGGUCCAUGAAUUCAUCCAACCAAGCCAUUGCAUCGGCUGGAAGUAG